rnacentral:rRNA from 1 species
GACGAACGCUGGCGGCGUGCCUAAUACAUGCAAGUCGAACGCAGUGGGGACGGGUGAGUAACACGUGGGUAACCUCCCAUCAGAGGGGAUAACACUUGGAAACAGGUGCUAAACCGAUAUUGAAGGAUGGACCCGCGGGGGAUUAGCUAGUUGGUGAGGUAACGGCUCACCAAGGCCACGAUGCCUAUCCGAGCUGAGAGGGUGAUCAGCCACACUGGGACUGAGACACGGCCCAGACUCCUACGGGAGGCAGCAGUAGGGAAUCUUCGGCAAUGGGCGAAAGUCUGACCGAGCAACGCCGCGUGAGUGAUGAAGGUUUUCGGAUUGUAAAACUCUGUUGUUAGAGAAGCGGUAUCUAACCAGAAAGCAACGGCUAACUACGUGCCAGCAGCCGCGGUAAUUC